GUAGAAUCUGUGAGGAGCAAACUGACCGGUCAGCCGAAGGCCAAGGACAACCUCACUUCUUUUGAGGACUGACAAGGAACACAAGCUUUGAGGAGUCAUUUUUCAGCCUUCAUACCUUCAGCAGAAUGGGUUUUUGUGGUUGUAAUUGGUGAGAGUUCUCCUGGAAACCU